rnacentral:rRNA from 1 species
AUGGUACCCCGAGUCGUUGACGGAGACGUGGGCCUUGGCGAGCUGCCACAGGUGGCCCUCGGUGCCGUGGGUCGCGGGGAGGAAGACCCGGCUCAGCUCGGUGUCGCCCUCGCCGUCGCUGGGCAGGCUCAGCUCGAUGACGACCGGCUUGAGGGUCCCGUCGGCCUUGAGGAACAGCAGCGUGCGCGACGCGUAGAUGCACACGCCCAGCGUGUUUAUGCGCCUCAGGGAUACUGUGUUUGUAUCAUCAUACAUACAUACCAAGCAGAGAAACAGGGAGCAGUUUUGCUAACCAUUUCAAUGGUGACAUCUCCAAGCUGGCUCUUGAUGUGCUCGGCGGUUAUCGAGCUCUUCUUCCCGCCACUGCUCACCGGCGGAAACGUCUGA